rnacentral:rRNA from 1 species
GCUUAGAGAGGGGUCAAUGUCCUAUCAGCUAGUUGGUAGGGUAAUGGCCUACCAAGGCGAAGACGGGUAGCCGGCCUGAGAGGGUGGUCGGCCACACUGGGACUGAGACACUGCCCAGACUCCUGCGGGAGGCUGCAGUCGAGAAUCUUUCGCAAUGCCCGAAAGGGUGACGAAGCGACGCCGCGUGUGGGAAGAAGGCCUUCGGGUUGUAAACCACUGUCGGGAGUUAGGAAAUGUAAGGGUGCUAAUAGUAUCCUUACUUGACUAAGGCUCCGGAGGAAGCCACGGCUAACUCUGUGCCAGCAGCCGCGGUAAUACAGAGGCGGCAAGCGUUGUUCGGAAUUAUUGGGCGUAAAGAGCACGUAGGCGGCUUCGUAAGUCAGUUGUGAAAGCCUUCUGCUUAACGGAAGAACAGCAUCUGAUACUGCAAGGCUAGAGUGCGGAAGGG